AACCACCCAGAAGAAAAGGGAACUUCAGGAAGCAAGUGGUGCCCCCCGGUUUCAGUCCCACUCUUAGUCUUUAGAGGGUCGUGGAGAGGGUGUUCACUCCUCCAGGACCCAGCUAUGAACUCCUGCAAGCAGCGUACACACAGAACACGAAGCCACGAGGAGCCACAUCGCCUGGGGCCAGAGCAGGGAGGGGAGGGGGCUCCUGGAAGACCCUGGCUGGGCGUGCGGGGGAGCCGCCUCCAUGUCCCUGACCCUCGCCUCCACCACAGCCCCGAAGGUCUUCCCUCUGGCUCCCAGCUGUGGGACCACAUCUGACUCCACGGUGGCCCUGGGCUGCCUGGUCUCCAGCUACUUCCCAGAGCCAGUGACCGUGUCCUGGAACUCGGGCACGCUGACCAGCGGUGUGCGCACCUUCCCGUCCGUCCUGCAGUCCUCGGGGCUCUACUCCCUCAGCAGCAUGGUGACCGUGCCUGCCAGCAGCUUGGAGAGCAAGACCUACAUCUGCAACGUAGCCCACCCGGCCAGCAGCACCAAGGUGGACAAGAGAAUCGAGCCCGUCCUCCCAAAGCCUACGACACCUGCACCUACAGUGCCGCUAACAACCACAGUUCCAGUUGAGACGACUACACCACCCUGUCCCUGCGAGUGUCCCAAAUGCCCAGCUCCUGAGCUGCUAGGAGGGCCUUCCGUGUUCAUCUUCCCCCCAAAACCGAAGGACGUCCUCAUGAUCACCCGAAUGCCUGAGGUCACCUGCCUGGUUGUGGACGUGAGCCAUGACAGCUCCGAUGUCCUGUUCACCUGGUAUGUGGACGGCACAGAGGUGAAGACUGCCAAGACAAUGCCGAACGAGGAACAGAACAACAGCACUUACCGCGUGGUCAGCGUCCUCCGCAUCCAGCACCAGGACUGGCUGAACGGAAAGAAGUUCAAGUGUAAGGUCAACAACCAAGCCCUCCCAGCCCCUGUAGAGAGGACCAUCUCCAAGGCCACAGGGCAAACCCGGGUGCCGCAGGUGUAUGUCCUGGCCCCGCACCCAGAUGAGCUGUCCAAGAACAAGGUCAGCGUGACCUGCCUGGUCAAGGACUUCUACCCAACCGACAUCACCGUCGAGUGGCAGAGCAAUGAGCAUCCAGAGCCAGAGGGCAAGUACAGAACCACUGAAGCCCAGAAGGACAGCGACGGGUCCUACUUCCUGUACAGCAAGCUCACUGUGGAGAAGGACAGGUGGCAGCAGGGAACGACAUUCACGUGUGUGGUGAUGCACGAGGCUCUCCACAAUCACGUCAUGCAGAAGAACAUCUCCAAGAACCCGGAGAUGGUCCUGGACGAGAGCUGUGCCGAGGCCCAGGACGGGGAGCUGGACGGGCUGUGGACCACUAUCUCCACCUUCAUCACGCUCUUCCUGCUCAGCGUGUGCUACAGUGCCACCGUCACCCUCUACAAGGUGAAAUGGAUCUUCUCCUCGGUGGUGGAGCUGAAGCGGACGAUCGUCCCCGACUACAGGAACAUGAUCGGGCGAGGGGUCUAGGGCCGUUCCUCCUGGGCAGACGUCCAGGGCCGCCCCAGACCCCAGACAGCAUCCGGGUCCCUCAGGUCAUGCUGCUCAGCUGCUGUGCAGACCUGCUCCUCUGCUUCUGACCUCGCCAAACGCUGACCUACUGCCCUGUGACCUCAUGGCCACCUCUACCCCUACCUCGCCCUCGGGCCUUGGAGCCACCACAGGCUGCAUCCUGCCCCCUGACCCCCAGUGGACAAUCGAGUGGACAGCAGCUGUAACCAAGCGGGGCUAAUGGAUUCCCACAGGCCCAGCCACAGCAGCCACUAAGAGCUGCCGGACCUGUGUGGACGCUGAGGCCUCGGGGCCAAACAUCCCUCACCAGGACGGCCACAGGUCGGUGUGUCAGUCACCAGGGAGGAGGUGGAGGACCAGCCUUCCCAUGGCCACCUGGGCAGGGUUGGGCCUGCAUGCGAACCGCAUGAUGCCAUGCUCUAGGACAUGGGGUCCCAAGAGGAGACGCCCGGUUUCAGAUCCUUGAGUGGGAGCAUCUGCCAUCAAGGCCCAGAGACCCAGGGGCCAUCAUCAACCAGCAGGGAAGCUUCUGGGUGUGCCCCUCAUAGUCACUCAGAUCACCACCACCUAAGGAGACUGCUAGGAGGAGGACCUGCGCCCAUGGCCGUGGCAGGAGCCCUGGGGGGUGGGGGCGGCACCACCUGGGGAGGGUCAGUGUCAGACCAGAUGGCUUCCUGGGGAGGAGCCUAGUGACUAGCUCACCAAGGGGGCGGGAUCGGGAUAUGGCCUUGAUGGACAGAAGUGGAAGAGGGCCAGGAGAGCAGGGCAGCAGGCACUCCGUCCUGUGCUCGGCAGGGCCUGUGUCACGAUCCACAGGAACUCCAGGUUGCUCCACGGGGCACAGGGAAGAGACGAGACCACCAAGGAGAGAACCGAGGCCUCAGGGAGCCGGGCCAGGUGGACCCAACCAGACCCCCGACCUCACCAACCCAGGAACCAGUGCCCCCUCACGACUCUGAACAAAGGGCAAGUCAGCAUCUCUGGACGGGGAGGACAUGGAUGAGCACAGGAAGCAGAGGCGGCCCCGCCCCACCUGCCAGGUCCUUGCACAGAGAGACGGCUCAAAGGAAAGCCCACAGUGGGAGCUUGGAUAGCUUUUCUCCUUCUUGAAGUUUCUAUAGCCCCUGGAUUGUCUUUACAGUUUCUUUUUCUAGAACAACAAUAAAAUACCUGGAAAAUUCCU